CUCUCUUCGGAGAGUGUAUAGAGUGGCGCACGGGUGAGUAACACGUAAGUAAUCUACCUUUGAGUGGGGAAUAACGUUCGGAAACGAACGCUAAUACCGCAUAAUGCAGCGGCACCGCAAGGUGACAGUUGUUAAAGGAGCAAUCCGCUUAAAGAGGAGCUUGCGGCAGAUUAGCUAGUUGGUAAGGUAAUGGCUUACCAAGGCCACGAUCUGUAACCGGUCUUAGAGGACGGUCGGUCACACUGACACUGAAUAACGGGUCAGACUCCUACGGGAGGCAGCAGUCGGGAAUUUUGGGCAAUGGGCGAAAGCCUGACCCAGCAACGCCGCGUGAAGGAUGAAGUAUUUCGGUAUGUAAACUUCGAAAGAAUAGGAAGAAUAAUUGACGGUACUAUUUAUAGGGUCCGGCUAACUACGUGCCAGCAGCCGCGGUAAUACGUAGGGACCAAGCGUUGUUCGGAUUUACUGGGCGUAAAGGGCGCGUAGGCGGCUCUGUAAGUCACUUGUGAAAUCUCUGAGCUUAACUCAGAACGGCCAAGUGAUACUGCAGAGCUAGAGUGUAGAAGGGGCAAUCGGAAUUCUUGGUGUAGCGGUGAAAUGCGUAGAUAUCAAGAGGAACACCUGAGGUGAAGACGGGUUGCUGGUCUAACACUGACGCUGAGGCGCGAAAGCCAGGGGAGCAAACGGGAUUAGAUACCCCGGUAGUCCUGGCCCUAAACGAUGAAUACUUGGUGUCUGGGACUAUUAAGUUCUGGGUGCCGUCGCUAACGUUUUAAGUAUUCCGCCUGGGGAGUACGCUCGCAAGAGUGAAACUCAAAGGAAUUGACGGGG
rnacentral:rRNA from 1 species